rnacentral:rRNA from 1 species
GGAAUCUUGCGCAAUGGGCGAAAGCCUGACGCAGCAACGCCGCGUGGGUGAAGAAGGCCUUCGGGCUGUAAAACCCUUUUCUUGGGGAAGCGGUACCCAGGGAAUAAGCCUCGGCUAAUCACGUGCCAGCAGCCGCGGUGAUACGUGAGAGGCGAGCGUUAUCCGGAUUUACUGGGCGUAAAGGGCGUGUAGGCGGUUGGGCAAGUCCUUUGUGAAAUCUCCGGCUUAACCGGGAGGGGUCAAAGGAAACUACCCAACUUGAGGGUAGCAGGGGGAGAUGGUAUUCUCGGUGGAGCGGUGAAAUGCGUAGAUAUCGAGAGGAACACCAGUGGCGAAGGCGAUCUCCUGGGCUAUACCUGACGCUGAGGCGCGAAAGCGUGGGGAGCAAACAGGAUUAGAUACCCGUGUAGU